rnacentral:rRNA from 1 species
AGAGAGAGACAUGCGCGCAUAUCAAUAAGCGGAGGAAAAGAAACUAACAAGGAUUCCCUUAGUAACGGCGAGUGAAGCGGGAAGAGCUCAAAUUUGAAAUCUUCAAGGUUUUACCUUGACGAAUUGUAGUUUAAAGAAGUGUUUUCUGCUGAAGUUUUGGUAAAAGUUCUUUGGAAUAGGACAUCAUAGAGGGUGAGAAUCCCGUAUUUGACCAUUAUUUUCCAGCUUUGUGAUACACUUUCAAAGAGUCGGAUUGUUUGGGAAUGCAGUCCAAAAUGGGUGGUAAAUUUCAUCUAAAGCUAAAUAUUGGCGAGAGACCGAUAGCGAACAAGUACCGUGAGGGAAAGAUGAAAAGAACUUUGAAAAGAGAGUUAAACAGUACGUGAAAUUGUCAAAAGGGAAGCGUUUGACACCAGUGUUGUUUUCUCGAAAAUCAAUUAAAAAUGGCUCGAUUUUGUAUUGCUGAGACCUUAAAAGCUCACUGUACAUUUUUCGUGUCUUUUUUAAUGCACUUUUCGUUUAACAAGUCAACAUCAGUUUCUUUUGUUGUAAAAGGGUCAUUGGAAGGUGGCUUUCUUUUCGGAGAAAGUGUUUAUAGCCUUUGGCCUCUGCAAUCGGAGAGACUGAGGUCUGCAGCGUAGACUCUUCGGGGUUAGAUACAUUUGUGCUAAGUUAUAGCUUUUUAUAGACAACUUGUUGACUAUAAUUAGUCUUGUAGCUUACUCGCUUAUGCUAUUUUACCUACGCUUAGGAUGUUGAAGAUGUAGCACAUCAU